CCUACGGGGGGCAGCAGUGGGGGAUAUUGCACAAUGGGGGAAACCCUGAUGCAGCGACGCCGCGUGGGUGAAGAAGCGCCUCGGCGCGUAAAGCCCUGUCAGCAGGGAAGAAAAUGACGGUACCUGAAGAAGAAGCCCCGGCUAACUACGUGCCAGCAGCCGCGGUAAUACGUAGGGGGCAAGCGUUAUCCGGAUUUACUGGGUGUAAAGGGGGCGCAGACGGCGAUGCAAGCCAGGAGUGUGAGCCCGGGGCCCAACCCCGGGACUGCUCUUGGAACUGCGUGGCUAGAGUGCAGGAGGGGCAG
rnacentral:rRNA from 1 species